GUUUGGAUUUGUAGCCAAUUUUGCCUUCAACAAACUAUUUUGAUAACCACAUCAAAACAUAGUACAAUAUCGUAUCUAAUAGUACGUUGUCCUCCUUGCUGCUUAUUUACAUCUUUACGAAGAAAUUAUCUACAUUGAAUUUAGCGUGAGCAGAAGCUUUGUGUAACAGAGUCAAGUAAACGUCGACCGAAACAGAAACGAAAGCCCGGUCGCAAUCCCAGAGUUCCAUUCACUCCCAAACAGCUGACGACCCUGGAAAACAAGUUUGAAACAAUGAAGUACUUGACAAGUGAUAAAGUUCGUAGUUUCUAUUUGGAACUGACGUUACCGGAAAACAAAAUCAAAAUAUGGUUUCAAAAUCGAUGAGCUAGGGAAAAAAGAAAAAGUUCACAAAGCAGCGAUGAAUAUGUUGACGUAAUGACAAUUGACGAGGAGAACAGUUAGCUAUGUAUGACGACACAUGCACUGAAAAUUAGUUAUAGUUUUUAUAGAGGUCUAUAGUUAGAAAAUCAGUUAUGCAAUCAUAGAGUUUGCAUUGUAGUAAUCUUGCACAGCGUACGUUCAACAGGACCUUUAUUUAUUGCUGUCAAUAUUCAAUAAUGAGCAUAGAAAUUUCAUCGAUGACGUCAUUCGAGCAUUUCCGCUUACAAAGAGAAAACACUUUGAAUGCAAAGUUUCAUAAUGGAAAACAUCGUAAAAAUCUCAGGUUGUAACAUAGGAUAGAAAAUAAAACAUACUUUUACAUUUCAUCAUGAUCUCAAUGUCCAUUUUUGUAAUAAAUAUAAAAAAUAAAAAUGCAUUUAAAGUUGAGUGACUUAAAAUAAGGUUUACACUGCAGGUCGAUUUAAAGACUGCAACAACAAAA